AUCAGUAAUGGUGGAUAAACAAUACGACAUGCAGUCUUGUCAUCAACAGACAGUUUUGACAUCCUUGUUUCUAUCAAUCACAUCUGUAACCUUUGUUGUGUUCAUCAAACAGAUGAUGGACCUCUCUACUUCCUUUUACAACAGGUGCCCCUACAGAUUCACAAAGUUCCAGUGUUGAGUUUCCAUGACCCCUAUUCAUCCACGACAGGAAAAGGAAAAGAGUUGACAGGACUUUCCGCACUGUCCCUGGUAGCAGUUUAUGAGGGAGCCAACUGCAGUAAACAUAGCACGCUUCAUCAAAGAUGCACCAGAUGCAGCAGCACUGUCUCCAUCACUGAUGAAAAGGGAUAUGACUAGUGGCCGGUCAUCACUUUGUAACUCACCAACACAAUUAGCGGCCCAUCUCUUCUCGUCUCCAAUGGUGGUCUCCAGAGGAAUGGUUGCUGUGCAGUCUUCAUGUCCUGGGCAAGUCUGUUGGUGGUUGAUGCUGGUUCAAUAUUUGCACCAAGAAGCAUACCAUGCAUACCCUCUGUUGUAAGACUGGUACCCAGGUGACCGACAGCCAUGGCCACAUUCAGCUGUGCAGCUCUUCGUCCCCAGCCAGAUCUUCUCACCUCUUUGUAGUUUUUCUCGGUGACUGGUAUAGUGGCACUUUUUACAUCGGAUGGAAAGGAUCCAUGCCAGGCCUCUUUUUUCCUUCCCAUGCUGAUUCCAGUCGAGUAGACCAUCACAGUCUGGAAACUUAUGUGUGCAUGAUACAACUUCCUAGAUGGUGUGUA